UGGGGAAUAUUGCACAAUGGGCGCAAGCCUGAUGCAGUCAUGCCGCGUGUAUGAAGAAGGCCUUCGGGUUGUAAAGUACUUUCAGCGGGGAGGAAGGCGAUAAGGUUAAUAACCUUGUCGAUUGACGUUACCCGCAGAAGAAGCACCGGCUAACUCCGUGCCAGCAGCCGCGGUAAUACGGAGGGUGCAAGCGUUAAUCGGAAUUACUGGGCGUAAAGCGCACGCAGGCGGUCUGUCAAGUCGGAUGUGAAAUCCCCGGGCUCAACCUGGGAACUGCAUUCGAAACUGGCAGGCUAGAGUCUUGUAGAGGGGGGUAGAAUUCCAGGUGUAGCGGUGAAAUGCGUAGAGAUCUGGAGGAAUACCGGUGGCGAAGGCGGCCCCCUGGACAAAGACUGACGCUCAGGUGCGAAAGCGUGGGGAGCAAACA
rnacentral:rRNA from 1 species